AGCAUGCGCAGAUUCACUUGCCGCACUGGCUAGACCACGUGUUGGACUUCUUCAGUUUUUCUUUGAGCUUCUUCUCGUUCUUUUGUUCCUUGACUUCCUAUAGAUGAUGACUCUGACUUAUAACUCCUCAGAAAUUGUCUCUCUCUGGGCUGACCAUAUGGAUAAAGUUGAAGUUAGGCUUUAUGAACCUACAUCAAUGUCUUAUUGUCAAGAAUGGGGCAAGCUUAGUGAUGCUUUAUCUAACGGGAAAGGAGCUAAUUAUAGCACGAUUCAAGUCGCUGAAGACGUUGAUUUGACUCUAACGACUAAUACAGAGACACUGGAACAAGAUGACACCCCACUAAAGAAGCUGAGGCCUCAACACAAAACGGCCUCAUGUUGUUAUAGUAAAGGAACCACUGGAGCAGAAACGGUAAGUGUCCUUACAAGGAUACUCUUGGUGUUACGACUGAGGAGUCCCUAACGAGCUUGGAGUCUUGAGUGAAUCUUUCUUAUUAACAACAACUACAUUUCUUAUCUUUCUUACGAGGGAUUUGUAAUGAGCUUGGAGUCUUGAGUGAAUAUUUUAAAAUUACCAGCUAUAUGGUAUUCAUCUAUGAAUGGAAUUUUGAGUAGAAAAGCUACGUGUAAAAACUUACCAGACUACAAUUGACGGACUUCAAGACAAUAAUUAGAAUAAAAUAAAUAAUUUAAUAACUUAUAGUACCACUCUCUCUCUCCAUCUUGUAGUUGAUGUUUCAGAAUUUGUUCAAGGGAAGGUGCUCAUUGAAGUCGUUGCCAUUAGUUACGAGGAGCCACGCCCACAUGAAAGGGACAAGGGAGAUGAUGUUAGCAGGUGUUGCGUUGAAGCUAAAAUAAAAAUAAAAUUUUCUGUUAAUAGUGUCAGUGCCUAUAUUGAUUGCUCUUUUAGUCGAAAAUUACAGGUCAAUCAGUAUUCAGGAGGUUGACUUGACCUUUGUGUGUUCCCGUGACCUUUUGACCUCUUAAACUGAAGCGACCCAUAGGAUUGACCACACCCUCUUGGACUUUUUUGCAUUCCAACAAAACCACAGGCUAGGCAGCGUAAGUGAAACAGACCAGAACAGUUCAAUAUUAGUGAUGCAAUUGGCCAAUCAAUAGAUGAUCUUGUACGCAAAGAUUUGUUUUGAUACUGUUGUCGCAAACGACAGG
rnacentral:lncRNA from 1 species